UCACAUUAAUGCAGGUUAAGUCGUUGUGCUCAUGUUGUGCUUGACGCUCGUACAAGUAAGCGUGCCGGUAAUAAACCGUUGUUUGGUAUAACGGUCGUUCCGUUAAAUCUCCUUGCGAUCCUGUACAUAAAUUUAUUUGUAAACUAUUAAAGUAAAGCUUGUGAUUUUCUAAACGUCGCGUACAAUCUACGAAGAACGAUAAAAGUGUGUUCAACGUUAAAAAAUCAGACGUCCAGUGAUUCGAACGAUUAUCGAGAUUUGGAACAUGUUUGAAGAGGCGACGACAUCGAAACGCUCUUUCAUAACUGUUGGAAACGACCUUAGACCUCGAAGGCCUCCCACUGCUAC